GGAAGAAGGCACAAGAUAUUUUAAAAGAUUUUUAAAAUUCUAGUCAUAAAGAGAUUCACCAUUUGUCUCAUGUAUUUGGAAAAGAAAAAAAACCUCUAAACUCUUUCCACACUCCACAAAAUAGGGGGUCCCUCUGCCUGGCUCCUCUAUCCGGGGUGACAGGUUUUCUCUCUGGCCCUUAGGUGCCCACGUGCCACCAGCAUCAUUACAGAAGUGUGGCUUCACUACUAGGGUUGGUCUCAGAGUAGAGCAGAGAAUAUUUUAAAAGAAGAAAAAGAGGCUGGGCACAGUGGCUCAUACCUGUAAUCCCAGCACUUUGGGAAGCCGAGGCAGGUGGAUCAUUUGAGGUCAGGAGUUUGAGGCCAGCCUGGCCAACGUGGUGAAACCCUGACUCUACUAAAAAUACAAAAAUUAGCUGGGUGUUUUAGCGGUCACCUGUAAUCCCAGCUACUCUGGAGGCUCAGGCAAGAGAAUUGCUUGAACCGGGGAGGCAGAGGUUGCAGCGAGCAGAGAUCACACCAUUGCACUCCAGCCUAGGCGACAGAGAGACUCCAUCUCGAAGAAGGAGAAGGAGGAGGAGGAGGAGGAGGAAGAGGAGGAGGAGGAGGAGGAGGAGGAGGAGGAGAAAAGGAGAAGAAGAAAAAUAAAACAAAUAUUUUUCUUACAUUUUCCAGCCUAGAGGGAUAUUUUUUUCCUGAUCCUAUGGCCAGAAAGACAGUUUCCAAUCUGUCCCACCUGCAGAGUUGCCCAAGGGGCUGGUCUUGAACUCCUAGGCUCAAGUGAUCCUCCAGCCUUGGCCUCCCAAAUUGCUGGGAUUGCAGGCAUAAGCCAGCGCCUGAGGUAGGAGUAAUUUUUAAAGUGUCCCAAGUGAUUGCAAACUGUAGCCAAGAUGAAGACCCCCAACCACCUGGGUAGAGGCAUCUAGAUCUACCCAACAGUGCAUUUGGUCUCAUGGGACGCUGAAGGUAGACUGGAAAUCAGGGAAAUGAAAAGUGCAGGAAGCAGAAGGAUCUUCAUCAACGUGGGUGAGAGCAGGUGUACUUGCCUGAAAGGAGGGCUGGAAGAGGGGGAAAGACCAAUGCAAAGACUCCACAAAGGGAACAAGACAUACAGGCCACAAAGUCAUGCCAAUAAUCCUAUAGCCUACAGUGCUGCACUAGUUCCGUAAUUUCUAAUCAAAUGUCACUUUCCAUUGUCUGAUUUUAUUAUUUUCUUCAUCCACUGGCAUCCUCCUUCUUGAAUGUAUGUCCUUAGAGUCUUGAAAAUUAGCUUUAUGUGUGUUAUAAAUUUACAUCAAUGUCUUUGUGAUGCAGAUUUUCUCUGUUUCUGCUCAUUUUCAGGUGGCACUGACCCUCCUCCAUGUGACUAUAUUCAAGCAUCACCUCUGUGUGCUAAUGAACAUUUCAUCACAGUUCACUUCUCCAGUCCCUGAGGGAUGCACACCUGAGCUCCCUCCAGCUCCCGCUCCCACCAGCAGUGCUGAAAUGAACAUCUUCAUACCAGACCCCUUGCAGAUGUGACCUGAACAUCCAGAUGGGGCUGCAAGUUCAUCAGACUCUGUCAGAUGACCCAGUGUUGUCAAAGGAGAGUCUCCAUCAUUUUCCUCAUUUGUGAUGUUGGCCCCUGAGGACAGAUGGGCCCAUGAAUCUAUCUCCAGGGUCUGGCAAGGUCCAUUCACAUGGUGCCACCUUUGGCUCCAGGUCUUUCAUGAGGGAAAGCAAAGGCAGCUUGAAGUCAGGGGGGCAGUCCACAGACCACCCUCACUUCUAACUGUGGAGUUUGGGCGUUCAUUCCCAAGGCCAUUCUCAGGUUUGACCAUUUGCUAGAAAGACUCAUGGAAGUCACUGAAAGUGUUUAUACCCAUGGUUAUGGUUUAUUACUGUGUAAGGAUACAGAUCAAAUCAAGGAAGACACAUGUGGGGUAGAACCCAAGAGGGUUCCAAUGUCAGAGCUCCCAUUGUUCAUUGCCUGUGGAGUCACAGACAGGGCUGACUCCUCCAGGUAUGAUGUGUGACAAUAAGCAGAAUAUUGCCAACCGGGGGGCUUACCUGAGCCUUGGUGUUCUGAGUUUUUACUGGGGAGUCAUGGUCGAUGCCUGCCUGCCUGCAUGGCUGACCUUUAGACCCCAGACCCUGGAGGUUGAAAUGAUAUUUUCAACAGGCCCUGUUAUUAGUCAGGUUAGGCUUGGCUCUGCUGCAGAGGCAGAUAAACCCCCAAGCUCAGCAGUGCUAGA
rnacentral:lncRNA from 10 species